rnacentral:misc_RNA from 1 species
AAGUCGUAACAAGGUUUCCGUAGGUGAACCUGCGGAAGGAUCAUUAUGAAUUUGGAACUUGUGUGUGGCCUUGUUCAUUUAUUUGAACGCCCUCGCAAUUCUUUUUUCUGUGAACUGGCGCAUUCUCAAUCGUUUGUCAAUUCAUUUUGAUGAACGUGUCGAGUUUGCUCUUUUUUGUUUUCUUGUAUUAUUCCACUUUUUUUUGAGUAAUUCUUGCAAAAGAAUGAAAAAAAAUAAAAAACCAAGACAACUUUCAGCAAUGGAUCUCUUGGCUCUU